CUCUCUCUCUCUCUCUCUCUCUCUCUCUCUCUCUCUCUCUCUCUCUCUCUCUCUCUCUCUCUCUCUCUCUCUUUCCCUCUUUCAUUGAUCUUCUUAACGUUGAAUCCACAAGCUCAAAAUGUUUUUAUCUAAUAAAAAAGUACAAACCUUUUGUUGAUUUUUCUUUCUGGGAAAUUGUUAGUCUGUUCAGUCUUCUGUGUCUCAUGUUUCCUUUUUACUGAUUUGCUUGUUUGUUUCCCAGAUAGGGAGUCUAAAGAUCUAAUUCCAUAAGGAUGUAAUGUUUCUUUCUUCUUUUGAGGGGGUUAUUAACUAAUGGUUUUAAUCUUAUGUUUCUAUAAGAGAAGUACUGAUGAUUUCCUUUGAUCCAAUCUGCUCAGAAGCAAUAACUCCUAGCUAGCCAACUGAUGGGACUGAAGGAGCCCUUGGCUAACAAUCUUAUGUGCUAAUCAAGUUUAAGCUAUGCUUAUAAGAACUGAUUGAUUGUUUUCUUAUUUAUGGACAUAAAAAGGUUGAUUGUUUUUUAUUUAUUUACUUGGAGUUUUCAUGACUGCAACUUGCAAGUUUCAGAAAGGCCAGUACCAAGUACUACUUACUAUAACUACAACUACAUACUAUUUUAAGGUCACAUUCUCGUACAGUUGUGACAACUGGAGGUUGAUUGGUUCAGUUUGUUUUUGCAGUUACUAUCAGAGAGUAGUCAUUCUUUAAGUUCAUAUACAACUAGACUUUAAAGGAUAGGAUUAAUCAAAUGUUAUUCCAAUGACAUUGAGACCCAAUUCGAGUUUUAUUCUUAGCUGAUAUGUUCGUCUUACCUCAAACUACUAUGAAGAAAACUUUGUUGCCUAAUACGUCGUUACUAAUUGGACUUGCAUUUAUUGUGAAGGUUUUUUCUCUCUUUUAUCUUCCAUUUCUAAUGUUGGUUUUUUUAUCUCUUUGAUCUUGUUGCAUAUACUCCAAGUAUCUCUAUAGUUCCAUAGAUUUAUACUCCGAGUUGAUUCUUUAUAAAUCUAUGUUUCUGACAUUUCCUAUUUUAAUGCUUUAGAGUGUGUACUUGUGAAUAGCUAUUGUUAUUUGGUUGUCCUUUAACAAUAUAUUAAUUAGGCCAGGUUGUUUGGUUUUACAUACAUUUAUAUCUCUUCUAACGAGGAUCCAAUUUCCUUGUUGAUUGAUGAAUCCUUUUGNNNN
rnacentral:lncRNA from 1 species